AAGUCGUAACAAGGUUUUCAUGAAACACCAUACUGAAGCCUUGAUCCCAGUCUAUUAUAUAGGCAACACCUUUAAUGUGCUUGGAUACCUAAAGGUAACAAGCAGCUGCUAACUGCAGUUCACAGAUCAAACAAAGGUGGUCCUUAGGUGCUACUGCAUGCUUAGCUGUAGGAUUUAGAUAUGACCGGCCUACUCUUGUAAAAACUAGUAGAGUUUGUGUUCCGUAGGUGAACCUGCGGAAGGAUCAUUACAGAGAACAUGCCCUUUAGGGUAUAUCUCCCACCCUUUGUCUAUAAUAUC
rnacentral:misc_RNA from 1 species